AACGAACGCUGGCGGCAGGCCUAACACAUGCAAGUCGAGCGGACCCUUCGGGGUUAGCGGCGGACGGGUGAGUAACGCGUGGGAAUAUGCCCUUCUCUACGGAAUAGUGCGGGGAAACUGGGGGUAAUACCGUAUACGCCCGCUGGGGGAAAGAUUUAUCGGGGAAGGAUUAGCCCGCAUUGGAUUAGGUAGUUGGUGGGGUAAUGGCCUACCAAGCCUACGAUCCAUAGCUGGUUUGAGAGGAUGAGCAGCGACACUGGGACUGAGACACGGCCCAGACUCCUACGGGAGGCAGCAGUGGGGAAUCUUAGACAAUGGGGGCAACCCUGAUCUAGCCAUGCCGCGUGAGUGAUGAAGGCCUUAGGGUUGUAAAGCUCGUUCAGCUGGGAAGAUAAUGACGGUACCAGCAGAAGAAGCACCGGCUAACUCCGUG
rnacentral:rRNA from 1 species